rnacentral:rRNA from 1 species
UACGAAGGGGGCGAGCGUUGUUCGGAAUUACUGGGCGUAAAGGGCGCGUAGGCGGUGUGUCAAGUCAGGCGUGAAGGCCCCGGGCUCAACCUGGGAACGGCGCUUGAGACUGGCACGCUCGAGUUCGGGAGAGGAUGGUGGAAUUCUCGGUGUAGAGGUGAAAUUCGUAGAUAUCGAGAGGAACACCGGUGGCGAAGGCAGCCCCCUGGGCCGACACUGACGCUCAUGCACGAAAGCGUGGGGAGCAAACAGG